UACGGGGGGGGCAAGCGUUGUUCGGAAUUACUGGGCGUAAAGGGCUCGUAGGCGGCCAACUAAGUCAGACGUGAAAUCCCUCGGCUUAACCGGGGAACUGCGUCUGAUACUGGAUGGCUUGAGAUUGGGAGAGGGAUGCGGAAUUCCAGGUGUAGCGGUGAAAUGCGUAGAUAUCUGGAGGAACACCAAUGGCGAAGGCAGCUCGCUGGAACGGUACUGACGCUGAGGCGCGAAAGCGUGGGGAGCGAACAGG
rnacentral:rRNA from 1 species